rnacentral:lncRNA from 1 species
CAGAGUUCAAACAUAUAAGUUCAAAAGUAGAUUCAAUUACUUCAAGUUCAAGAAGCACGGGUACAAAUAAGAACUCACUCGACUAGCCUAUACCCAGCAAUUCACAUUCUCAAACAGUCGCCGAAUUCAAAUCCACAUAUAGGUCAUAUUACUCAUGUGUAAAAAUCAAAUCAGGUCCAUUACAUGUACGUAAGAGCACACUCGCCAAAACAAGUUCAAGUCCCAAAUGAGCUCAUUUUAGUCUGUCUCAGACAGUUCAAGUAUUGCAAACCCCUUUGAUCGGUCCAAUAACAAGGUUAAAUGUUAGAAUCAUCCACACUUUAACCUUUCCAUCAAAACUCACCUCAAGUGCAAUCAAGAUACAGACCCUUAUUCUAACGCUCUUCACUAUAUGAUACCCAAGUACAAGAAUCCACAAUAAGACAAUUCACAACUCGAGCCGGCCGGUCCCAAGAGUAAAUUACCCAUAUUAGAGAUUCCUACCCAGCAUACAUAUCUAAGGUCCCCAACAAUAGACAAUUGUUCCACACUUAACAAGUCAAUCCCCACAGUCCAAGAACCUUCUCCCGGCACGAGCUCAAAAGGAGCUCUGAUACCAUCUGUGACGACCCCACCUCCCCCUAAGGCGUACCAAAGGGUUCGGCGGACCGCCUGCCCAGCUCUCGCCAGGACUCACUCACUAUCUCUAUCGAAUAAUGUACACACAACCAUGAACCAUAAAUAACAAUCCCAAUUCAAGCUUAUAAUUUACAUUGAUAGAAAUCGAGGUACAAAGUCUCAAUAUACUCAAACUGGUUCAAGGCAUAUACAAUCCAAAUACAAAACAUUCUAUUCGAGGAAUAGCACGAGUACAAGUCAAAAAAUCAAACAACUAGUCUAUGCUAGACUUUACAUAUCUCGCACCUCGCUCGUACCCCUGAAAGGAAAACAAAUGGAGUGGAAUGAGCUAAAAGCCCAGUGAGGUUCCAAAUAGCAAAUUGACCAUUAUUUAGAAGUACAAGUUUUCGGUAUAGCAAAGUAACAAGCAUGAAGAGUUCAUAAAGGUGAGCAAUAACACGUCAAGUAGCAAUCUUAAAAUGAACGAAUGUAGAAAAUUUUUCAAAAGAAACAAUAAUCCAAUAAACAAUAAUUACUCCAAAGUAUAAGGAUACGGAUGACUCUCAGGAGCCAAAUUCCCAUUACAUUACCAGAAGCUUGAUCCCGUAGUAGUUGACACUCCGUCAACUUUCAAGU